AUUGAACGCUGGCGGCAGGCCUAACACAUGCAAGUCGAAAGAGUGGCGGACGGGUGAGUAAUGUCUGGGAAACUGCCCGAUGGAGGGGGAUAACUACUGGAAACGGUAGAUAAUACCGCAUACCAUCGGAUGUGCCCAGAUGGGAUUAGCUAGUAGGUGGGGUAACGGCUCACCUAGACGACGAUCCCUAGCUGGUCUGAGAGGAUGACCAGCCACCCUGGAACUGAGAACCGGUCCAGACUCCUACGGGAGGAAGCUGUGGUGAAUAUUGCAAAAUGGGCGCAAGCCUGAUGCAGCCAUGCCGCGUGUAUGAAGAAGGCCUUCGGGUUGUAAAGUACUUUCAGCGAGGAGGCGUUACUCGCAGAAGAAGCCCCGGCUAACUCCGUGCCAGCCGCCGCGGUAAUUC
rnacentral:rRNA from 1 species